AGUACUAACCAGCUAUUUCAUAGCUGUUGCAUGAGGAAAGGGACUAGAGUAGGAUUGUACCCCUCAGUCUAUGCUUUGUUUACUCUGAGUGUGCAAAAGAUGGAUAUGAAUUGUCUCCCACGGCAGCAGCUAACUUCACACGCCGAAACCUGGCUGACUGUCUUCGGAGUCGGACCCCAUAUCAUGUGAACCUCCUCCUGGCUGGCUAUGAUGAGCAUGAAGGGCCAGCGCUGUAUUACAUGGACUACCUGGCAGCCUUGGCCAAGGCCCCUUUUGCAGCCCACGGCUAUGGUGCCUUCCUGACUCUCAGUAUCCUCGACCGAUACUACACACCGACUAUCUCACGUGAGAGGGCGGUGGAACUCCUUAGGAAAUGUCUGGAGGAGCUCCAGAAACGCUUCAUCCUGAAUCUGCCAACCUUCAGUGUUCGAAUCAUUGACAAAAAUGGCAUCCAUGACCUGGAUAACAUUUCCUUCCCCAAACAGGGCUCCUAACAUCAUGUCCUCCCUCCCACUUGCCAGGGAACUUUUUUUUGAUGGGCUCCUUUAUUUUUUUCUACUCUUUUCAGGUGCACUCUUGAUAAAUGGUUAAUUCAGAAUAAAGGUGACUAUGGAUAUAAUUGGGCCCUCUGGUCCAGGUCUCAGUUUACCUAAUAUUACCUCAGAAAGGAUAUGGAGGGAAGAUGAUCUUUUUGCCAGGUCUGACUUUUCUUCCUGCUCCACCCUCCAUUAAUGCUUAGUACCCUUUAGCAGCUGACGGCCCCACGUUCUACUCCAUGCUUGGCUUCCUUUCCAACUAGCUCUUUCAUAUAUUUUACUUGCUAGUAUCUCCAUUCUCUCUAAAGUAGUGGUUCUUUUUGCCCUUAAACUUAAAUUUUUAAAUUAAUUAACCUGAAUUAAUAAUACAUGCACUUAAUAUAACAUGCAAACAGUACAAAAACAUGUAGUGAAAAAUAUUUCUUCCAGAGCCAGGUGUGGUGGCUCAUACCUGUAAUCCCAGCACUUUGGGAGGCCGAGGCGGGCGGAUCACAAGGUCAAGAGAGCGAGACCAUCCUGACCAACAUGGUAAAACCCCGUGUCUAAUAAAAAUACAAAAAUUAGCUGGGCUUGGUGGCACGCACCCCUAGU
rnacentral:sRNA from 1 species